GACGAACCCUGGCGGCGUGCUUAACACAUGCAAGUCGAACGGAAAGGCCCUGCUUUUGUGGGGUGCUCGAGUGGCGAACGGGUGAGUAACACGUGAGUAACCUGCCCUUGACUUUGGGAUAACUUCAGGAAACUGGGGCUAAUACCGGAUAGGAGCUCCUGCUGCAUGGUGGGGGUUGGAAAGUUUCGGCGGUUGGGGAUGGACUCGCGGCUUAUCAGCUUGUUGGUGGGGUAGUGGCUUACCAAGGCUUUGACGGGUAGCCGGCCUGAGAGGGUGACCGGCCACAUUGGGACUGAGAUACGGCCCAGACUCCUACGGGAGGCAGCAGUGGGGAAUAUUGCACAAUGGGCGGAAGCCUGAUGCAGCAACGCCGCGUGCGGGAUGACGGCCUUCGGGUUGUAAACCGCUUUCGCCUGUGACGAAGCGUGAGUGACGGUAAUGGGUAAAGAAGCACCGGCUAACUACGUGCCAGCAGCCGCGGUGAUACGUAGGGUGCGAGCGUUGUCCGGAUUUAUUGGGCGUAAAGGGCUCGUAGGUGGUUGAUCGCGUCGGAAGUGUAAUCUUGGGGCUUAACCCUGAGCGUGCUUUCGAUACGGGUUGACUUGAGGAAGGUAGGGGAGAAUGGAAUUCCUGGUGGAGCGGUGGAAUGCGCAGAUAUCAGGAGGAACACCAGUGGCGAAGGCGGUUCUCUGGGCCUUUCCUGACGCUGAGGAGCGAAAGCGUGGGGAGCGAACAGGCUUAGAUACCCUGGUAGUCCACGCUGUAAACGGUGGGUACUAGGUGUGGGGUCCAUUCCACGGGUUCCGUGCCGUAGCUAACGCUUUAAGUACCCCGCCUGGGAAGUACGGCCGCAAGGCUAAAACUCAAAGGAAUUGACGGGGCCCCGCACAAGCAGCGGAGCAUGCGGAUUAAUUCGAUGCAACGCGUAGAACCUUACCUGGGUUUGACAUGGAUCGGGAGUGCUCAGAGAUGGGUGUGCCUCUUUUGGGGUCGGUUCACAGGUGGUGCAUGCCUGUCGUCAGCUCGUGUCGUGAGAUGUUGGGUUAAGUCCCGCAACGAGCGCAACCCUUGUUCACUGUUGCCAGCACGUUAUGGUGGGGACUCAGUGGAGACCGCCGGGGUCAACUCGGAGGAAGGUGGGGAUGACGUCAAGUCCUCAUGCCCCUUAUGUCCAGGGCUUCACGCAUGCUACAAUGGCUGGUACAGAGAGUGGCGAGCCUGUGAGGGUGAGCGAAUCUCGGAAAGCCGGUCUCAGUUCGGAUUGGGGUCUGCAACUCGACCUCAUGAAGUCGGAGUCGCUAGUAAUCGCAGAUCAGCAACGCUGCGGUGAAUACGUUCCCGGGGCU
rnacentral:rRNA from 1 species